rnacentral:rRNA from 1 species
GAUGACCGCUGGCGGCGUGCCUAAUACAUGCAAGUCGAGCGAACGGACGAGUAGCUUGCUUUUCUGAUGUUAGCGGCGGACGGGUGAGUAACACGUGGAUAACCUACCUAUAAGACUGGGAUAACUUCGGGAAACCGGAGCUAAUACCGGAUGAUAUUUUGAACCGCAUGGUUCAAAAGUGAAAGACGGUCUUGCAGACACUUAUAGAUGGAUCCGCGCUGCAUUAGCUAGUUGGUAAGGUAACGGCUUACCAAGGCUACGAUGCGUAGCCGACCUGAUAGGGUGAUCGCCCACACUGGAACUGAGACACGGUCCAGACUCCUACGGGAGGCAGCAGUAGGGAAUCUUCCGCAGUGGGCGAAAGCCUGACGGAGCAACGCCGCGUGAGUGAUGAAGGUCUUCGGAUCGUAAAACUCUGUUAUUAGGGAAGAACAUAUGUGUAAGUAACUGUGCACAUCUUGACGGUACCUAAUCAGAAAGCCACGGCUAACUACGUG